CCUACGGGAGGCAGCAGUGAGGAAUAUUGGUCAAUGUGCGAGAGCCUGAACCAGCCAAGUCGCGUGAAGGAUGACGGCCCUACGGGUUGUAAACUUCUUUUGUCAGGGAGCAAUUGGGUCCACGCGUGGGCUUAGCGAGAGUACCUGAAGAAAAAGCAUCGGCUAACUCCGUGCCAGCAGCCUCGGUAAUACGGAGGAUGCGAGCGUUAUCCGGAUUUAUUUGGUUUAAAGGGUGCGUAGGCGGAAUAUCAAGUCAGCGGUAAAAAUUCGGGGCUCAACCCCGUCGUGCCGUUGAAAUGGAUGUGAUGGAGUGGGAGAGAAGGAUGCGGAAUGAGGGGUGUAGCGGGGAAAUGCAUAGAUAUCACGAAGAACUCCGAUUGCGAAGGCAGCAUACCGGCGCCCAACUGAAGCUGAAGCACGAAAGCGUGGGUAUCGAACAGGAUUAGAUACCCUAGUAGUC
rnacentral:rRNA from 1 species